GUGGUAAUGCCGGAUGCUCCAGCUGAUCGCAUGGUCUUUUGGGAAAGCCUUUGCGGCAUGGGAUGGGGUCGCGUCCUAUCAGCUUGAUGGCGGGGUAACGGCCCACCAUGGCUUCGACGGGUAGCCGGCCUGAGAGGGCGACCGGCCACAUUGGGACUGAGAUACGGCCCAGACUCCUACGGGAGGCAGCAGUGGGGAAUAUUGCACAAUGGGCGCAAGCCUGAUGCAGCGACGCCGCGUGAGGGAUGGAGGCCUUCGGGUUGUAAACCUCUUUUGUUAGGGAGCAAGGCAUUUUGUGUUGAGUGUACCUUUCGAAUAAGCACCGGCUAACUACGUGCCAGCAGCCGCGGUAAUACGUAGGGUGCAAGCGUUAUCCGGAAUUAUUGGGCGUAAAGGGCUCGUAGGCGGUUCGUCGCGUCCGGUGUGAAAGUCCAUCGCUUAACGGUGGAUCCGCGCCGGGUACGGGCGGGCUUGAGUGCGGUAGGGGAGACUGGAAUUCCCGGUGUAACGGUGGAAUGUGUAGAUAU
rnacentral:rRNA from 1 species